rnacentral:rRNA from 1 species
AUUGAACGCUGGCGGCAGGCCUAACACAUGCAAGUCGAGCGGGGUUUUCGGACCUAGCGGCGGACGGGUGAGUAAUGCGUAGGAAGCUGCCCGAUAGAGGGGGAUACCAGUUGGAAACGACUGUUAAUACCGCAUAAUGUCUACGGACCAAAGUGUGGGACCUUCGGGCCACAUGCUAUCGGAUGCGCCUACGUGGGAUUAGCUAGUUGGUGAGGUAAUGGCUCACCAAGGCGACGAUCUCUAGCUGGUUUAAGAGGAUGAUCAGCCACACUGGAACUGAGACACGGUCCAGACUCCUACGGGAGGCAGCAGUGGGGAAUAUUGGACAAUGGGCGCAAGCCUGAUCCAGCCAUGCCGCGUGUGUGAAGAAGGCCUUCGGGUUGUAAAGCACUUUCAGCGAGGAGGAAGUGUGGUGUGUUAAUAGCACAUCAUUUUGACGUUACUCUCAGAAGAAGCACCGGCUAACUCUGUGCCAGCCGCCGCAGUAAUAC